rnacentral:rRNA from 1 species
GAUCUGGCUCAGGACGAACGCUGGCGGCGUGCUUAACACAUGCAAGUCGAACGGAAAGGCCCUGCUUUUGUGGGGUGCUCGAGUGGCGAACGGGUGAGUAACACGUGAGUAACCUGCCCUUGACUUUGGGAUAACUUCAGGAAACUGGGGCUAAUACCGGAUAGGAGCUCCUGCUGCAUGGUGGGGGUUGGAAAGUUUCGGCGGUUGGGGAUGGACUCGCGGCUUAUCAGCUUGUUGGUGGGGUAGUGGCUUACCAAGG